rnacentral:ncRNA from 18 species
GAUAGAACUAUCUCGACGGAGAGAAAAGCAGAUAGCCUUACUGCCCGUUCUAUCAAACCUCGUUAUCAUAAGGC